GAGCAACUAUCUACUAACUUGUUAUGAUGGCUAGCAAUGCAUACUCCAAGGUUUGAGCAAGUGGACGAUUGUCAUUAUUAAGCCCACUUUGGGACAAUAUGACUUCUCGCUGGGAGUCAAGGCUUCUUUAUGAUGCCACCACGGAGCGUGUUUCCUCCGAAAGGACCAAAUGAGCAUCUUUUUCCUUUAUGAUAUUUUCUGGGUACAACAAGUAUCACGAGAAACACAAAGUUCUAAUAGCUGAGCUUGAGAAGUCUCGAAGAUGUUUGGAGAACAAGGACAAAGAACUAGCUGAGUCCACCUUGAAAAGAGAAGAAGCAGAGAAAGAGCUCCAAGGCUCUCUAAAGGUUAAAAGCGAUACAAUCUUUGUCUUGGCAUAUUCCAAUGCCUAGCCUUGAAACAUAAACAAAAAUUAAUUGGUCAAACUUGCCCAAUGUUUUGUAAAACACAGGGAUUUCAGAAAUAAAUUGUUUUGUAAAGAGCGUAUAAUUCUGCUAAUCUGAAACCAAGCUUGCAAAGAUAGAGGCUCAAGUGGCCUACUUGAAAGUGUGACCGAGCUUCAUUUGGAAGAUCAAUAUAUGACUGACGCACUGGUGAGAAGCAUGUCUAAAAUUGACCAUCGUUAUUCAAUGACCAUCAUCAUGAAUGAUCUCAACAAGGUUCAAUCAAAACGUGAAUUUGAUUUCGAGUGGUACUACAAGAAAUUCAAUGUGAGGUUCGGAAACUUCGAUAAAAAUAAUUACGCAGAUGAGCUUAAUUUGGAAGAUAUUGACUAUCCGCCAAAGAUCUGAUUAAACUCUGAAGGCAAGGACUCGAGCACACGUUCUCUAGCGAACUAGCAUCUACUUUCAACGAUCCUCCAGAGGAAAAGGAUGAAUCAUUUAGCUGGCUCUUCUGUGGAUAUCUUCUUUGAUCUUUCAAACUUUGAAUUCUCAGAUGAAAAGUCAAUGGAAGAUAAUGAAAUAAUCUCCCUUGGUCAAUCUGCUAACAAAGUUCGCGACAAUCUCGAGCUCAGUGGGCACCUACAAUGCCCUAAACGAUCCUUCAGAUCCUGUUCAAGCAACAAAUCUUCCCCACCCUAUUAGAUUGCAAGUAUCCCCGAUCCUAUCCAAUCAGUAAGCCCGACCAAUUUGGCCCUAGAAAGCACUAACAAUCAAAGUGUCCAAGGGUCAAAUGAUCUUCCAGCCCCAACAAUUAAUUUUAUUUUCAAAUUUAAUUUGUGUAUACUUGUAAUAGUUUCUCAACUAUUCUUCUAUUUAGAGCAUCUUCUCUUUUGUUCUUUAGUCAAUAACAGCUUGUAUAAACUUCUUCAGAAGUGUUUUUAGACAUCUUUUAAUAAUUAUGAAUCUUCUUUUGAA